rnacentral:rRNA from 1 species
CCUACGGGCGGCAGCAGUGAGGAAUAUUGGUCAAUGGGCGGAAGCCUGAACCAGCCAAGCAGCGUGCAGGAUGACGGCCCUAUGGGUUGUAAACCUCUUUUGUCCGGGAAUAAAGCCCCGUACGUGUCGGGCUUUGCGUGUAUCGGAAGAAUAAGCACCGGCUAACUCCGUGCCAGCAGCCGCGGUAAUACGGAAGGUCCGGGCGUUAUCCGGAUUUAUUGGGUUUAAAGGGAGCGUAGGCCGCAUGUCAAGCGUGCUGUGAAAUGUCCGGGCUCAACCCUGGCCGUGCAGGGGGAACUGGCGGGCUUGAGUCGGCGAGAAGCAGGUGGAAUGCGCCGUGUAGCGGUGAAAUGCUUAGAUAUGGCGAAGAACCCCGAUUGCGAAGGCAGCGUACUGGAGCGGAACUGACGCUGAGGCUCGAAAGCGCGGGGAUCGAACAGGAUUAGAUACCCCUGUAGUC